rnacentral:rRNA from 1 species
UACGAAGGGGGCUAGCGUUGCUCGGAAUCACUGGGCGUAAAGCGCACGUAGGCGGCUUUUUAAGUCAGGGGUGAAAUCCUGGAGCUCAACUCCAGAACUGCCUUUGAUACUGAGAAGCUUGAGUCCGGGAGAGGUGAGUGGAACUGCGAGUGUAGAGGUGAAAUUCGUAGAUAUUCGCAAGAACACCGGUGGCGAAGGCGGCGCUCUGGACCGAGACUGACGCUGAGGCGCGAAAGCGUGGGGAGCAAACAGG